UGAGGGAUAUUGGGCAAUGGGGGCAACCCUGAUGCAGCAACGCCGCGUGCGGGACGAAGGCCUUCGGGUCGUAAACCGCUUUUCUGGGGGACGAGCAAGGACGGUACCUCAGGAAUAAGUCUCGGCUAACUACGUGCCAGCAGCCGCGGUAAAACGUAGGAGGCGAGCGUUAUCCGGAUUUACUGGGCGUAAAGCGCAUGCAGGCGGCGGGGUGAGUCGGACGUGAAAGCUCCUGGCUUAACUGGGAGAGGUCGUUCGAUACUGCCCGGCUUGAGGUUGGGAGAGGGGUGCGGAAUUCCCGGUGUAGUGGUGGAAUGCGUAGAUAUCGGGAGGAACACCAGUGGCGAAGGCGGCACCCUGGCCCACACCUGACGCUGAGGUGCGAAAGCGUGGGUAGCAAACAGG
rnacentral:rRNA from 2 species